UGUUUUUAUGUUUUUGUUUAGAUUGAUAAAUGGUGCAAGUCUGGGAAUCUGAAGUGCAAAGGACCAGCCCGAUGGGUCAAACCAUUCAGAUGUAUAGAAUCUCCUCCAACGAAACCUACAGCUUCCACCACACCUUCGACUGUAAAGACUGCUGACGAUGAAUAUUAUGAUGAUGAUUAUCUGGAGGAGGAAGAUGAUGAGUACUAUGACGAUGAUGACGAUGAUGACGAAUAUGAUAAUGAUGAUGAUGAUGGUGAUGAUGUGAAUACUGAUGAACUAUUAAACGAAAUAGAGACUGAGGAGAAGAAUAAAAAGGCGGAAAAACUAAAAUUUGAUAGUGUUGAUCCUUACUUCACCCACUACUCCCCUAGUGAGGAGCACAAAGAGUUCAGCAGAGCCUUAGAGAGGCUCGAUGGGAAGCACAGGGAAAGGAUGACCAAGGUGAUGAAAGAGUGGAGUAGGAUGGAGGAUAAGUACAGUAGCCUGGCUAAAACCAGCAAAGAAGACGCUGAAACUCUAAACCACGAGAUGACAAAACAGUUUGAGGACCGGAUAGAAGGACUAGAGAAGGAUCAUGAAGGGGAAAAAGAUCAGAUAAUCUCUAUGCAUCAGCAGAGGGUUGUUUCAAG